UAUACCUUAAUAUAAGAUGUAUAUUAAUUUUUGAUAUUAAAAGUGACAGUUUAAAUCUGUUAGGUGUAA
rnacentral:tRNA from 1 species